AUGAACACGCCGCUGGCGGCGGCGGGAUGGCGAGGGGCGGCGGCGCAGAGUGGUGGCGGGUGGCCAGAUGGUGCUCCUACAAGAGGGCCGCCAUCACCGUCUGCUGCGUGAACCUCGUCGCGGCCCUCUUCGUCUUCCGCUCUCUCUACGUUUCCUUGCAUCUCUUCUCGCCGGCUGAGAUCCCUCACUCCUUCACAGAUUUGAAGUUGAAUGGAGAUGAGAUGGAG
rnacentral:misc_RNA from 1 species